UCCUUGGGCCCUAAAGGUCCUGGCCAGUUGUCCUGUAGGGGGAAGAAGACGGAUUUCCAUUUCUUGUGGGCACCAGCCCCUUUGUGACCCCAAAUCAGGAGCUGUAGGGGAAACCCAGUCUGCUAGGAAUGUGUUGGGUGGGGGGGUCAUAAUUUUCCAAAGGACUGAAGAUACCAGGUUUGAUGAUAAGACCCUAUCUUUCCUCUCACAUCUGGUGGGGAUUGAAGGAUGAGUCCAGAUGGAGAGAAUGGAAUAGAGUUGGGAAGAGUUGUUUCACAAGCAAGUUAGGGAAAAGAAGAGAAGAUCCUCUGUCCGGUUGAGGAAUGAAGUUAUUUCUUCCACUUGGCCUGUAUAGAUCUGCAAUAUGUUGCUGUGUGACUUGGAGCUAAGGGUAUUGUUGGCAAAAAAGCUGUACAAAGUCCUUGUCUAUAACUGGUAAGGUUAUUUCCAAGUUUGUUAUGAUGUAGUAAUGGCUCAUAAUACUCUAAAAGCAUUCCCAUCUUCAUUUCAUUUCCUUCCCACUUGUGGUUUGCCUGUUUUAGUGGCCAGUACCAUCUGGCCUGCAACAUUUCCUGCAGGUGGGUUAUUGGAAUUCCUGCUUUGUUCCAAUAGAUUUUGCCUUCUCCCAAGAGGGGACCAGAACCCCCCAAAAGGACCCUGUGCUCUACUCUUCUUGUGUCGCGGGAUCAUCAGAUGGUUCUUAGUUGGGUCAGCCUACAACAUGAGACCUCGAAUAUGAAUCCAGACAGUGGCAUCACUAGAGCCCAACUGGCUAUUGUUUCAGGUUUCUGCCAGACCAUCAUAAUUCGAUAGAGAGUGGUCUCAGGGUACCCCACUGUACAUCAUCCUGGCUAGCAACCCCUAACUUUGCCGUUGCCUUAAACAUGAACGAUGGGGUGGACUUUGAGAAGAUUAUUAUUCUUAUGAUGAAUGACUACUAUCACUACUACCACCACUCUAACCACCACCACUACUACCACCAUCACCAUUUAAUUGAAAUGAAUAGAAUUAAGUUGAAAUGAGGGAACUACUAAGAUAAGACCAAGCUCCAGUGGUUGGCAUUGCAAUGCAUACCAGGGAGGACUUUUUGGGUGGAUUGACCUGUGACUUGUCAAAAUUCUUCUUAGAGUAAUUUUACCCCAUCUGUUUCUUGUGGUUUGGAGCAACCCCCUAAGCAUGGAGAACUCUCGUGUCAGGGGAGGAAGUAAGGGAGGAAAGGGGCUGUGAGGUUGGCCCCUGGAGCCUGAGAGAGAAGUGACUUGGGUAGAAGCAAGGGCAAGAAACAGGCUAAGCCCUUAUCUUGGUUGCAGGCUGAGCCUUGAUAGGAAUAUCUUAUCAACACAUACCUACAGUCCCAAAGUGUAUCCACAGUCCUUCCCCACUUCAGGGGACACAUCUCAGGAACCCUAAGGAUAGAAUGUCAUCAUUUCAAAUCAAUCGUGAUCUAUUUUAUCUGAGUGGAUGUUUAGAAUCUCCCCAAUUCUAAUUUUUUUUUCUCCUGAGCCAACUUUGGUGGUGCUCCUCUGCCUCCCCAGACCUGGAGCUCCCUGAGGACAAGGAAAGGACUGCUGCUGCUGCUGCUGCUGCUGCUGCUCCUCCUCCUUCUCCUUCACCGUCUCCCCAGAAGACUGUGAAGUCCCUGAGGACAAAGAACAGUAUUGACAGCACCUUAGUACAGAACUUUAAUCACCUCGAGCCUUGACUGAUGCAAGAGCCUCCAGGUGAACCCGACGCUCUCAAGUCUUUCUCCACUCCACUUCAUCUUCCAUUUCAGUGAUUUUCCAAGAAGGCAGAUCUGAUCACAUCACACCCCCCUCCCACAUUCAAAUUCUAAUGGACCCCUGCAAAAUAAAAUAUGAAAUCUUGUACUCAUUAUUCAAAACUUUUAAUUUCUACUUCACAGAGAAGUUAUUUUAGAUCAAUAUAUCCUUUGCCCUCACAUCUGGUUAAAUCUGCAAACUGAGUCAGUGCAUUGGCCCUCUAUCUGGAGGUAGAUAGUAUGUUUCAUCAUCAUGAGUCCUCUAGAAUUAUGGUCAUAAUGCUGAUCAGAGUUCCUAAGUUUCAAAGUUGUUUAUCUUUAGCAUAUUAUUAUUGUAUAAAUCAUUGUCCUAGUUCUAUUCACUUCACUCUGUAUCAGUUAAUGCAAAUCUCCCUAGUUUUCUCUGGCACCAUUCCCUUCAUCAUUUCUUGUACUACAAUAGUAUUCCAUCAUAUUAAUAUACCAUAACUUGUUCUGUCAUUCCUCAUUUGAUGGGUAUUAGCUUCAGUUUCCAAUUCUUUGCUACCACAAAUAGAAUUACUAUAAAUAUUUUUGAACUGUUUCCUCUUUCUUUGAUACCUAGCAGUCCUAUUGCCAGUUCAAAGUAUAUACACAGUUUAAUAACUUUUAAGUCAUUGUUUCAAAUUACUUUACAGCUCCACCAACAUCGCAUUAAUAUAUCUGUUUUCUCACAGCCCCUCUAGUAUUUGUCAUUUUCCUUUUUUUUGUUAACCUUGCCAAUCUGAUGGGUAUGAGGUUGAGUUUCAGAGUUGUUUUUGUGUGAAUUUCUUCAAUUAUCUGUGAUUUCAAGGUCCUUCAUUUUACUGAAAGUGAAACAGACCCCCAAAGGGGUAGAAACCUGCUCUAGAUUAUAUAAAGUUAGUAGAAGAGCCUAGACUUGAAGGCAAUUUAAAAGACUGAAUUUGGGGUCAGAGGACCAAGGUUUGGGUUUCCAUUUUGCCAUCACUGCCUGCAUGUCCUUUGGAAAAUCAGUUCAUUUUUCUGUUCCUCAUUAUCCUCAUCUUGACUCUCCUUUCUCUCUCACUCCCAAUAUCCAAUCAGUUGCCCAAGUAUUGUUCAUUCUUCCUCCAUAACCUCUCUCAUGUCCAUCCACUUCUCUCUACUAAAAUGGCCAACACCCUCAUUGGGACUCUCUUUACCUCUAGUUCCAAAUACUUCCUAAUUGGACUUCUGGCUUCCAUUUUCUCCUCUCUCCAAUGAAAAAGUCCUUCACAGUCUGAAUCCAAUCAAUCUUUCCAGGCUUACUGAAUAUGACUCCACUUUUACAUUCUAGCCAAAGUGGUCUAUUAAUAAAUAGACCCAAAAUUGACAGUUUCCGUAGAAUUAACACCAUGUUCUCCUUCUGCACUUCUCACAGACUGUUCUUUAUGCCUGGACUUCAUCCCCUUCUGGACGCUGAUUCUAAGAAUCCUUAGCUUUCUCUAAGGCCCCACGAAUGUGUCUUUUCCUAAUCUCUUUGGUUGUUAGUACCCUCUCCUUCCUUCUCAAAUUAUCAUCUAUCAACUUAUCUAUUUAUAUGUUGUAUCCAAGUAGAUUGGAAACCACUCAAGGAGGCAGGGACUAUAUUUUGUUUGAUCUUUAUAUCUCCAGGGUCUAGUAUAGUGCCUUGCUUAUUGGAUUGUAAAAAGAAGGGAUUUGCCAAAGAAUUAAAAAAAAAAGGAUCUAUGUACCCAAAUGUUUCUA